GCUGAUUCUUGGAGGGGUCUUUUCUUUUUCCAAAAUUAUUACAAACAUUGUUAUUGAUUCCAUUAUUUUUCUUGAUGAAUCCCUCUUCGUUCUUAUGCUAGCAUAUUAUUUCACUAAAUGCGACUUUGGGAUUAACCUAAUCUUUCUUCUACCAUGCAGCAGUUGAACAUUUGUGACUAUUGUUGGUGCAUACAAUUCAAGAGCAAGCAGAGAAUGAUUGAGUUGCUGGCAAAUUUUCCUUGUUUUUUCAUUUUUUACAUAUGUAUAUCUAAAUAAGAUCGCCUAUGGUAGAAAAGGUGAGCUACCAAGUAGCCACGUUUCAUUUCGCCAAACUUGAUUCCACCUAAAACUUUUUUGACCUAUUCCUCAUCUUCUGAUUUAAACGACCCUUGCGAUUAGGAACCACGGAUGUAUCUAGUAAAUUAAUUCAUAGAAUAUGCCUUCUGGCUAGGUUAUCUUCGUCUAUGCUAUACUUAGUUUGCAAAUAUAUUUGAUUUGUAACCUUUCUUUAUUAUAAUGAGAAAUUUUUAUUUUUCAUACUUGGUUCGCUUAAGAAUACAAAAUUAUAAUAAACUAAUUAACUUUGUUGAGUUCCCACAAUAAGAAUUUGAAC
rnacentral:lncRNA from 1 species